rnacentral:lncRNA from 1 species
CUUUGCUCUUUGAACGUCUCAAUUUGCCAGUCCCCACUCCCACUUUGCCCCAUCUUGCUCCAAGGCUGGCAAACUUUGCUGGAGAAAACCACAAAAGUACUGAUGGAGCUGUCUGCCACUUGUGUCUGUCUUGGCCUGGACCUCAGUGGCAUUAGUCAUCUGUAUGAGAUCAGAAGUUUGAAGAGGCUUGAUUGGUUCUCAAACACUGAUGCAUUUCUCAGAAUGUACACCCGUCAUCAAGCAACCACGACUGUACUGAUGCUGACUGUGGGUCCAGGUGGUGACAGGCUGAACCCACCAACAUCAUCUUAUGUGCAGCUAUGCCUUUCUCCUCUUGUCCCCAGUUCUUCAGGACCUUUUGUCGGCCAUUCCUCAAGACAUCCACCCUGGCUCUCCUUCAGAAGACUGGCUCUGGCUCUGACAUCUGCCUCAGGUCUGGAAACUGAGAAAAUGAUCAAGAUCUUUCACUACAGCAGCUGACAUCAGUCUUUGGCUCACCUGCUCUUGACACAGUUCAGGCAACACAUUCCAAUCUUACUGCUAGGAACACCACAGUUGCUUAGUAACUGCUCCCUGGUUCCUCCAAAUAAGGGUCCAAGUUGCUGUUGCAACUUUUCUGCUGUUACAAUCAUCUGUCCACCUUGCCUUUGAUGAUUAAGUGCUGUCAACUGUGCUGCGCUCUUCCUGAAGCCUAUCAUCCUAAAUGUCAUCCCCAACACUGUGGAAGCCUGGACCCACGGCAGCCUAGAAAGGACAAUCACCCGGAGCUUCUCAACAAUGCUGGUGGCUCCCUCACUGGCAUAUUCCUUAUUUUACUAGUAAAGAGUGUGCUUUCUGGGUUCUCUGAGAGACUGGUUAAUUGAAAAUGUUUGCUGACCCCUGACCUAGAAGCUGUGAGGGCUGGUGGAGGAAAUCUUGUGAAGGGCAAGUAUCAUUUUGUAAAGCUCUGCCUCAGAGUGAAGAACAAUUCCUGGAGUGACCCUGACACCAGUGGGAAGCAAACAGGAAGAAGCAAAUCCCUUCUUCCUCCUCCAGCCUCCAGUGUCCCUCCAGCAUCCUCAGGGCCUCCUAGAGCCUAACAGGGAGCAGCUGCAGAGUGGAAAUAUGUGGUGUUCAGAGUCUUAGCUCCAACACCACAUAGUAGGGGUUACCAGGCUGAGCUGCAGUUGCUUAAUCAGCAGCACACGUCCCAGUUAUUCACAGGAGAAGAGAGUCUUCAUAACUGUGAUGCUAAAGCAUGCCAGGAGGAUAUUAUCACCCACUCACCACUAAGAACCAGCUCCUUGUUGCCACCUGAGCAGGAAAUGAUCCAAGACUGAGGAUCUGCUGCCUGGACCCCUUCUAAUACCAACUGUCUUAGUGUGGGUUCCCAGAAGCCAACCCUGAGGCAAGGAUUUGAGUGAAGUGGUUUAUUUGGGAGGUAGAGGGACAAAUAAAGCAUGUGUUGCCAGCCAGCUACCACCAUGGGUGACUGCAGGGAAGCUCUCACCUCCAGCACAGCAGCAAGUACCUCACAGGCUUUCGAGCUUGGUGAGGUAGUCCCAGGCAGAUCGCAGGGAGACAG